rnacentral:rRNA from 1 species
UGAUAAGUUAAAUGGCCGCAGUAAUCUGACUGUGCAAAGGUAGCAUAAUCAUUUGUUUAUUAAUUUUAAACUAGAAUGAAAGGAAUAAAGUAUAUUGACUGUUAAUUAAAAUCUAACAUAAAUCUUUACCUAAGUGCAAAAACUUAGAAUAAAAAUACAAACGAGAAGACCCUGGGAAUUUUAAUAUUUUUAUUGGGACAAUAUAAAACUAUAUUUCUAUUUCUAAUUAACAAAUAAUACUAACAAAAAAAAAUUACCCCAGGGAUAACAGCACAAUAAUCAUUGAGAGAUCUCAUCCAAAUGAUUGAUUAUGACCUCGAUGUUGAAUCAUUUGUAUAUAUAGUUUGCAGAAGAACCUUAUUUUCGUCUGUUCGACGAUGGAGCAUUACGUGA